AUGCUCGAAAGUCUAAAUUGACGUUCUGACAGGUCGACGACACGCUAAUUACGGUAGAGACCGUUCUAGUUCUAUUUGCACUGAGUCGCGAGAGAUAGUUGUCGACGCAUUUCGAGACGUGGAUUCUAGUUGUUGACACCACUACAGGUUCCAGUGCGAGCGUUGUGGCCGAGGAUCGCGGCAAGAGCCUUGCAGCCUAGCUAGCAGACACCAGUGUUUAGUGGUAUACCAUUUUGAGUUCACGUGAUACAUUUUGAUGUACAGAGACAUGUAAAUGAAUGUAUUAUAAAGCAUGUAGAUAACUAAAUGUUUCAGUUA